GUCAAUGGCCAUGCUAUCCUGAACAAGCCUGAUCUCUUCUGAUCUCCGAAGCUAAGCAGAAUUGGGCUUGGUUAGUAUUCGGAUGGGAGACCACCUAGGAAGAUCGGGAGCUGUAGGCA
rnacentral:rRNA from 1 species